AGCACCACAACAGGUGGAGCCUGCGGUUUAAUCGGACUCAACGCCGGGAAACUCACCAGAUAAGACAGCUGAAUGAUAGUCGGGCUGAAGACUCUACUUGACUAGCUGAGAGGAGGUGCAUGGCCGUCGUCAGUUCGUACUGUGAAGCAUCCUGUUAAGUCAGGCAACGAGCGAGACCCACGCCAACAGUUGCCAGCUCGUCCUCCGGGAUGGUGGGGACACUGUUGGGACCGCCUCUGCUAAAGAGGAGGAAGGAAUGGGCAACGGUAGGUCAGCAUGCCCCGAAUUAUCUGGGCUACACGCGGGCUACAAUGGGUGGGACAAUGGGUAUCGACACCGAAAGGUGAAGGCAAUCUCCUAAACCCAUCCGUAGUUCGGAUUGUGGGCUGCAACUCGCCCACAUGAAGCUGGAAUCUGUAGUAAUCGUGUCUCAAAAUGGCACGGUGAAUACUGUCCUGCUCCUU
rnacentral:rRNA from 1 species